rnacentral:rRNA from 1 species
UACGUAGGGGGCGAGCGUUGUCCGGAUUUAUUGGGCGUAAAGAGCGUGUAGGCGGUUCGGUAAGUCUGUCGUGAAAUCCUGAGGCUCAACCUCGGACGUGCGAUGGAUACUGCCGGGCUAGAGGAUGGUAGAGGCGAGUGGAAUUCCCGGUGUAGCGGUGAAAUGCGCAGAUAUCGGGGAAGAACACCAGUAGCGAAGGCGGCUCGCUGGGCCAUUCCUGACGCUGAGACGCGAAAGCUAGGGGAGCGAACAGG